rnacentral:rRNA from 1 species
GACCGAGGCCUCAAGCGUUAGGCGGAGUCACUGGGCUUAAAGCGUGUGUAGGCGGACGCCUAAGUGUCUUGUGAAAUCCCCCGGCUCACCCGGGGAACUGCUGGGCAUACUGGGCGUCUUGGGCCAACUAGGGGCAACUGGAACAAGCGGUGGAGCGGUGAAAUGCGUAGAUAUCAGGAGGAACACCUGCGGUGUAGACGGCUUACUGGACCAUAACUGACGCUGAGGCACGAAAGCGUGGGUAGCAAACAGG